CCUACGGGCGGCAGCAGUGGGGAAUAUUGCACAAUGGGGGAAACCCUGAUGCAUCGACGCCGCGUGAGUGCAUCAGUAAUUCGUUAUGUAACUCUCUAUCAGCAGGGAAGAAAAUGACGGUACCUGAGUAAGAAGCCCCGGCUAACUACGUGCCCGCAGCCGCGGUACUACGUAGGGGGCAAGCGUUCUCCGGAUUUACUGGGUGUAAAGGGGGCGGAGACGGCAGUGCAAGUCUGGAGUGAAAGGCGGGGGCUCAACCCCCGGACUGCUCUGGAAACUGUACGGCUGGAGUGCAGGAGAGGUAAGUGGAAGUCCUAGUGUAGCGGUGAAAUGCGUAGAUAUUAGGAGGAACACCAGUGGCGAAGGCGGCUUACUGGACUGUAACUGACGUUGAGGCUCGAAAGCGUGGGGAGCAAACAGGAUUAGAUACCCCUGUAGUC
rnacentral:rRNA from 1 species